rnacentral:ncRNA from 1 species
AGCGGAGCUGUUUAGAGUCUGUAGAAUUAUGCACAUGGAACCCAGAAAUGUCCUGCCAUGGACGGCAGGGCAAGGUGUUAUGCGCCAUGGACGGCGCAUAAAAGCCGGUUUCGUCGAGCAUAGAAAACCAUAUAGGCAUAAUUCGUACAGCCUCUUGACAGCAUAGC